rnacentral:rRNA from 1 species
UGCAAGUCGAACGCAGUAGCAAUACUGAGUGGCAAACGGGUGAGUAUAAUGUGGGAAUCUGCCUUUUGGUUUGGAAUAACACGGGGAAACUUGUGCUAAUACCGAAUAAGCCUUCACAGGGAAAGUUUUAAUGCCGAAAGAUGAGCCUGCACUUGAUUAGCUAGUUGGUAAGGUAAAAGCUUACCAAGGCAACGAUCAAUAGCUGUUCUUAGAGGAAGACCAGCCACAUUGGGACUGAGACACGGCCCAGACUCCUACGGGAGGCAGCAGUGGGGAAUCUUGCACAAUGGGGGAAACCCUGAUGCAGCGAUGCCGCGUGAGUGAAGAAGGCCCUUGGGUUGUAAAACUCUUUCGUCGGGGAAGAAAAUGACUGUACCCGAAUAAGAAGGUCCGGCUAACUUCGUGCCAGCAGCCGCGGUAAUACGAAGGGACCUAGCGUAGUUCGGAAUUACUGGGCUUAAAGAGCUCGUAGGUGGUUAAAAUAGUUGAUGGUGAAAUCCCAAGGCUCAACCUUGGAACUGCCAUCAAAACUUUUUAGCUAGAGUGUGAUAGAGGUAAGUGGAAUUUCUAGUGUAGAGGUGAAAUUCGUAGAUAUUAGAAAGAACACCAAAUGCGAAGGCAACUUACUGGGUCACUACUGACACUGAGGAGCGAAAGCAUGGGUAGCGAAGAGGAUUAGAUACCCUCGUAGUCCAUGCCGUAAACGAUGUGUGCUAGACGUUGGAAAUAUAUUUUUCAGUGUCGCAGCGAAAGCAUUAAGCACACCGCCUGGGGAGUACGACCGCAAGGUUAAAACUCAAAUGAAUUGACGGGGACCCGCACAAGCAGUGGAGCAUGUGGUUUAAUUCGAAGAUACGCGCAGAACCUUACCAACGCUUGACAUGUUCGUCGCGAGACUAAGAGAUUAGUCUCUUCAGUUCGGCUGGACGAAACACAGGUGCUGCAUGGCUGUCGUCAGCUCGUG